CCUACGGGAGGCAGCAGUGAGGAAUAUUGGUCAAUGGCCGGAAGUCUGAACCAGCCAAGCCGCGUGAAGGACGAAGGUGCCAAGCAUUGUAAACUUCUUUUGUCAAGGGACAAAAUCAGGCUCGCGAGCCUGCCCGCGUGUACUUGAAGAAAAAGCAUCGGCUAACUCCGUGCCAGCAUCCGCGGUAAUACGGAGGAUGCGAGCGUUACCCGGAUUUAUUGGGUUUAAAGGGUGCGUAGGCGGACUGUUAAGUCAGCGGUAAAAGCCCGGGGCUAAACCCCGGCGAGCCGUUGAAACUGGCGGUCUGGAGAUGGAGAGAGGUAGGCGGAAUGCGCAGUGUAGCGGUGAAAUGCUUAGAUAUUGCGCAGAACUCCGAUGGCGAAGGCAGCAUACCGGCGGGGAUCUGACGCUGAGGCACGAAAGCGUGGGUAUCGAACAGGAUUAGAUACCCUGGUAGUC
rnacentral:rRNA from 1 species